rnacentral:rRNA from 1 species
UACAGAGGUCCCAAGCGUUGUUCGGAUUCACUGGGCGUAAAGGGUGCGUAGGCGGUCGGGUAAGUCUGUCGUGAAAUCUCCGAGCCCAACUCGGAAACUGCGUCGGAUACUAUUCGUCUAGAGGAAUGGAGGGGAGACUGGAAUUCUCGGUGUAGCAGUGAAAUGCGUAGAUAUCGAGAGGAACACCAGUGGCGAAGGCGAGUCUCUGGACAUUUCCUGACGCUGAGGCACGAAAGCCAGGGGAGCAAACGGG